AUUGAACGCUGGCGGCAUGCCUUACACAUGCAAGUCGAACGGCAGCACGGGUGCUUGCACCUGGUGGCGAGUGGCGAACGGGUGAGUAAUACAUCGGAACAUGUCCUGUCGUGGGGGAUAGCCCGGCGAAAGCCGGAUUAAUACCGCAUACGAUCUACGGAUGAAAGCGGGGGACCUUCGGGCCUCGCGCUAUAGGGUUGGCCGAUGGCUGAUUAGCUAGUUGGUGGGGUAAAGGCCUACCAAGGCGACGAUCAGUAGCUGGUCUGAGAGGACGACCAGCCACACUGGGACUGAGACACGGCCCAGACUCCUACGGGAGGCAGCAGUGGGGAAUUUUGGACAAUGGGCGAAAGCCUGAUCCAGCAAUGCCGCGUGUGUGAAGAAGGCCUUCGGGUUGUAAAGCACUUUUGUCCGGAAAGAAAUCCUUGGCCCUAAUACGGUCGGGGGAUGACGGUACCGGAAGAAUAAGCACCGGCUAACUACGUG
rnacentral:rRNA from 1 species